rnacentral:misc_RNA from 1 species
GAUCAAAAACUUCAAAUUGUGCAUUAGAUAGCUUUUUAAUCUUCUUCUUCACAAUCAACUCCUUAGGAUAAGGGAAGCAAUAGCCAUCCCCAAGAACACUAAUAGAAGGAACCCCAAAAGUCCAUCCUCCAGACAGAUCCAUUGCAGUGCCUCUCAAGAAACUGUGUAGAAAUUGAAGAACGUACAGCAAAGAGAGAGAGAGAGAGAUUGA